rnacentral:rRNA from 1 species
GACGAACGCUGGCGGCGUGCCUAAUACAUGCAAGUUGAGCGAUGAAGAUUGGUGCUUGCCCCAAUUUGAAGAGCAGCGAACGGGUGAGUAACGCGUGGGGAAUCUGCCUUUGAGCGGGGGACAACAUUUGGAAACGAAUGCUAAUACCGCAUAACAACUUUAAACAUAAGUUUUAAGUUUGAAAGAUGCAAUUGCAUCACUCAAAGAUGAUCCCGCGUUGUAUUAGCUAGUUGGUGAGGUAAAGGCUCACCAAGGCGAUGAUACAUAGCCGACCUGAGAGGGUGAUCGGCCACAUUGGGACUGAGAAACGGCCCAAACUCCUACGGGAGGCAGCAGUAGGGAAUCUUGGGCAAUGGACGAAAGUCUGACCGAGCAACGCCGCGGGAGUGAAGAGGGUUUUCGGAUCGUAAAACUCUGUUGGUAGAGAAGAACGUUGGUGAGGGUGGAAAGCUCAUCAAGUGACGGUAACUACCCAGAAAGGGACGCCUAACUACGUG